UCCUACAGAUCUCCCUCUCAUUUUCUGCCU
rnacentral:piRNA from 1 species